GUUCCUGUCAUUCAGCAUUUGCCGUGAGUGCUCUCCAGAGCCUGAGGUGUGUGUGCUGUUUGCCCCCUGUGCUUCCGCAGACACCUCAAAGGGCUUCUGUCAAUCUGGCCACAGAGUCAGAUGGCCAGCAUACUACACGCACACUAAACGUGCUCAGAUCCCGACUCCCUUUACAUACACGCGCUGCAGAGAUCGAGAUGUUUAUGGACAGGCUCGAACUCGUGACCUGACCCCAGCACAUAUUAGCCUCAAGCUUCUUGCCCUUGCUUUCCUCGACUGUGAAGAUGGGAUCUGAUUCCCACUCUCUCCCUCAAGUGUCAGCUGCCAGAAUCAAUGUCCAAACGUUACAUCCGGAAAUGUUCUUCUGUUAAAGGACUGUGAACCCGGACCAGCGCAGACUGGAUUGAGGUAGCCAAGAGUCCUCGGUGGAGGCGCCAUUCUCCAUGUGCUUUCUUUGGUUAGAGUCUCGGUUAAGUUUCAAAGAACUGGCAAGUACAGAGGGAGGCUGCUGUGGUAGAUGGACAAGAGACGCCACCAGCCUGCCGCUGGUUCUUACUAUGUGUUCGGUGCUGCUCUGUGACGUCACAGCAGAUGUGUCAGUCAGUUCCUGCCUUGGAGAGCUUACGGUCCAGCCAGGGCUAAUCAUCACCCGGAGCAGCAGCGAGUGGCUUAUCGCUGUGCAGAAACCCGGAAGAUCUAGUGAAGGGAUGUCUCCCCCAAUGCCUUGUUUGGGUUGAUGUCCAGAAAUCUCUAACCUGAGGGCAACAAAACUCCACAGUAAAAUCCAGAGUGAGAGAGCAAUCUGUUUUCCUCUACUCUAUGGCCAGGACAGAGAAAGACCCUCAGUUCCAUCGAGUCAACUGUAAAUGACCCAUCGCAGUACAGAAGCAGGAAGAAGGACCAAGCGCCCAGUUCCUCAAGAAAACAGACAGUCUCCUGUUCUGCUGCCUUUUCGCUGCACGGUUAUUGAUUUUCAGCUCACCCUGCAAAGCUGUCCAUCUCAGGAUAAAUGUUGACUUGGCUCAAAGCUCUGCAGACUGGGAAGUCUAAGCCUUCUUCUUGGAUGGAAGCAUCAUGAGAAUGUAGAAGUCAUUUGUGAGAAUCUGAAGACUUUGGGACACUUUGCACCUGCUGCUGAAGAUACUUAAUGUGGGACAAUGUGAACACAGGCACAUGGUACUUAAUGUGGGACAAUGUGAACACAGGCACAUGGUACUUAAUGUGGGACAAUGUGAACACAGGUAGGUACGGGUACAACAGUAGGAAAAGGAAGGAGUUCUGGAGAAUGUUAGGCCGUGUGGAUUGGGUUUAAC